GUCAGGAUGGCCGAGCAGUUCAAGGCGCUGCGUUCAGGUCGCAACCACUUGUGUGGGCGUGGGUCUGAAUCCCACAUCUGACA